rfam:Gossypium arboreum cultivar AKA8401 contig_70685_1, whole genome shotgun sequence.
AACCCAUGGUGAGGGCACCUUCUUAAUAAAUCCUUAUAUCUCUUCUAUGCAUCAUAUAGAGUCUCUAAAUCUAUUUGUACGAAAGACGAAAUAUCAUUCCUCAGUUU